GGACUACUGGGGUUUCUAAUCCCGUUCGCUCCCCUGGCUUUCGCACCUCAGCGUCAGUAAACACCCAGGACGCGGCCUUCGCCUUCGGUAUUCCUCCGGAUCUCUACGCAUUUCACCGCUCCACCCGGAAUUCUACGUCCCUCUGUGUCCCUCCAGCCCAGCCGUUUAUCGUAGCCUCCCGUCGUUAAGCAACGAGCUGUCACACGAUACGCACUGCGCCGCCUACGUGCCCUUUACGCCCAGUAACUCCGGACAACGCUCGCCCCCUACGUAUUACCGCGGCUGCUGGCAC
rnacentral:rRNA from 1 species